rnacentral:rRNA from 1 species
ACGGGAGGCAGCAGUGAGGAAUAUUGGUCAAUGGUCGGAAGACUGAACCAGCCAAGUAGCGUGAAGGAUGACUGCCCUAUGGGUUGUAAACUUCUUUUAUGCGGGAAUAAAAAAGUCCACGUGUGGGCUCUUGCAUGUACCGCAUGAAUAAGGAUCGGCUAAUUCCGUGCCAGCAGCCGCGGUAAUACGGAAGAUCCGAGCGUUAUCCGGAUUUAUUGGGUUUAAAGGGAGCGUAGGCGGGCCUUUAAGUCAGUGGUCAAAGCGUGUGGCUCAACCAUACCACGCCGUUGAUACUGGAGGCCUUGAGUGCACAUAAGGAUGGUGGAAUUCAUGGUGUAGCGGUGAAAUGCUUAGAUAUCAUGAAGAACUCCGAUUGGGAAGCCAGCUUACUGUAGCGCCACUGACGCUGAUGCUCGAAAGCGUGGGUAUCGAACAGGAUUAGAUACCCUGGUA